GCUUGGUCGCAGCCUACACAUGCAGUCGAGCGGUAGCACAGAGAGCUUGCUCUCGGGUGACGAGCGGCGGACGGGUGAGUAAUGUCUGGGAAACUGCCUGAUGGAGGGGGAUAACUACUGGAAACGGUAGCUAAUACCGCAUAACGUCGCAGGACCAAAGUGGGGGACCUUCGGGCCUCAAGCCAUCAGAUGUGCCCAGAUGGGAUUAGCUGGUAGGUGGGGUAACGGCUCACCUAGGCGACGAUCCCUAGCUGGUCUGAGAGGAUGACCAGCCACACUGGAACUGAGACACGGUCCAAACUCCUACGGGAGGCAGCAGUGGGGAAUAUUGCACAAUGGGCGCAGGCCUGAGGCACCCAUGCCGCGAGUGUGAAGAACGCCUUCGGGUUGUAAAGCACUUUCAGCGGGGAGGAAGGCGGUGAGGUUAAUAACCUCUCCGAUUGACGUUACCCGCAGAAGAAGCACCGGCUAUCUCUAUGCCAGCAGCCGCGGUAAUACGGAGGGUGCAAGCGUUAAUCGGAAUUACUGGGCGUAAAGCGCACGCAGGCGGUCUGUCAAGUCGGAUGUGAAAUCCCCGGGCUCAACCUGGGAACUGCAUUCGAAACUGGCAGGCUAGAGUCUUGUAGAGGGGGGUAGAAUUCCAGGUGUAGCGGUGAAAUGCGUAGAGAUCUGGAGGAAUACCGGUGGCGAAGGCGGCCCCCUGGGACGAAGAACUGACGCUGAUGUGCGAACGCGUGGGGCGCAAACAUGAUUAGAUAGCCUGGGUAGUCCACCGCUGUAGACCGAUCGUCGAUCUGCAGUUGUGCCUUGAAGCUGCUUCGGAGCUACGCGUAAUCGAUCCGCCCGCGAGUACGGCGCACGUAAACUCAAAUGAAGUGACUAGGGGCCGCACAGCGGUUGUAUCACGUCGAUAGUCGAUGCAGCGCGGAGAUCUUACCUGUCUUGGACAUCCCACAGAAGCUUG
rnacentral:rRNA from 1 species